GCAGAAGAAGCGCCGGCCAACUACGUGCCAGCAGCCGCGGUAAGACGUAGGGCGCGAGCGUUGUCCGGAUUUAUUGGGCGUAAAGAGCUCGUAGGCGGCUUGUCGCGUCGACUGUGAAAACCCCGGGCUUCACCCCGGGUUUCCAGUUGAUUCGGGCCGGCUUAAAUUCGGUAGGGGAAACAGGAAUUCCCGGUGUAGCGGUGAAAUGCGCCGAUAUCAGGAGGAACCCCGGUGGCGAAGGCGGAUCUUUGGGCCCAUACUGACCGUGAGGAACGAAAACCUUGGGAACGAACCAGAUUAGAUACCCUGGUAGUUCCCCCCCGUAAACGGUGGGCCCUAGGUGUGGGCGUCAUUCCACGUAGUCCGUGCCGCAGCUAACGCAUUAAGCGCCCCGCCUGGGAGUACGG
rnacentral:rRNA from 1 species